GUGAACCGCCCUUUGCAGGGCACCACCUCCAUGGCCCUGGGUGUACUGCGCAGCAAUGUGCCCCCAGAAUGCAGCAGGGGUGUGCUUUACUCACACAGUUGAACUCACUUGUAUAACUCUAUUACUGGCUUUGCAGCAUCUUUGUACUUUCUGAGCCGGGCAGUGACGGCUUCAGGUUUAUCAUCCUCACGCUGGACCAGCGGCUCACCCGUCACGUCAUCAAUGCCAUGCACAUGAGGAGGGUUGAACUCCAUGUUGUAGACCCGUCCGCU
rnacentral:lncRNA from 1 species